UUAGUGGCGGACGGGUGAGUAACGCGUGGGUAACCUGCCUUGCACUGGGGAUAACACUUAGAAUAGGUGCUAAUACCGCAUAAGCGCACGGUCCUGCAUGGGACAGUGUGAAAAACUCCGGUGGUGCAAGAUGGACCCGCGUCUGAUUAGCUGGUUGGCGGGGUAAAGGCCCACCAAGGCGACGAUCAGUAGCCGGCCUGAGAGGGUGGACGGCCACAUUGGGACUGAGACACGGCCCAAACUCCUACGGAAGGCAGCAG
rnacentral:rRNA from 1 species